AUACGUAGGGUGCGAGCGUUAAUCGGAAUUACUGGGCGUAAAGCGUGCGCAGGCGGUUUUGUAAGACAGGCGUGAAAUCCCCGAGCUCAACUUGGGAAUGGCGCUUGUGACUGCAAGGCUAGAGUAUGUCAGAGGGGGGUAGAAUUCCACGUGUAGCAGCGAAAUGCGUAGAGAUGUGGAGGAAUACCGAUGGCGAAGGCAGCCCCCUGGGACGUCACUGACGCUCAUGCACGAAAGCGUGGGGAGCAAACAGGAUUAGAUACCCUGGUAGUCCACGCCCUAAACGAUGUCAACUAGUUGUUGGGGAUUCAUUUCUUCAGUAACGUAGCUAACGCGUGAAGUUGACCGCCUGGGGAGUACGGUCGCAAGAUUAAA
rnacentral:rRNA from 1 species